rnacentral:rRNA from 1 species
AGAACGAACGCUGGCGGCAGGCUUAACACAUGCAAGUCGAGCGCCCCGCGAGGGGAGCGGCAGACGGGUGAGUAACGCGUGGGAACAUACCCUCCGGUUCGGAAUAGCUCAGGGAAACUUGGAUUAAUACCGGAUACGGCCUAGCGGCGAAAGAUUCAUCGCCGGAGGAUUGGCCCGCGUUCGAUUAGCUAGUUGGUGAGGUAACGGCUCACCAAGGCGACGAUCGAUAGCUGGUCUGAGAGGAUGAUCAGCCACAUUGGGACUGAGACACGGCCCAAACUCCUACGGGAGGCAGCAGUGGGGAAUAUUGGACAAUGGGCGCAAGCCUGAUCCAGCCAUGCCGCGCGAGUGAUGACGGCCUUAGGGUUGUAAAGCUCUUUCGCUAGGGACGAUAAUGACGGUACCUAGACAAGAACGCCCGGCUAACUUCGUGCCAGCAGCCGC